ACUUCCACCUGGCUUACCUCCUCAGUUAUGCGUCAAGGCUUGUAUCGCCUGGAGCGUAUUGUGGGUUUCUUGUGUUGCAUACCUAAUUGAUGGCAUUGUUUUGACCGAUUGAAGUCCCUUUUUGUUGUGUGUCGCAUUUGCGACACAUGAAGAACCUUGAAGUGGUCCAUUGAGCUUUGCUUGGUCUUUUGGAUACUGAACAUGAUGUGGCUUUUGGUUCUUUCAUGAUCCUUGUUUGGCCCUUGUUUGCUAUUCUCUAAAUGACGGUUCAUGCACGCCUAGGCUCGUACCUGCGUGAUGUUCUAUGUCGAAGAGGAAUGC
rnacentral:misc_RNA from 1 species